rnacentral:rRNA from 1 species
UACGUAGGGGGCAAGCGUUGUCCGGAAUCAUUGGGCGUAAAGCGCGUGUAGGCGGCCCGGUAAGUCCGCUGUAAAAGUCCAGGGCUCAACCCUGGAAAGCCGGUGGAUACUGUCGGGCUCGAGUCCGGUAGGGGAGUGUGGAAUUCCCGGUGUAGCGGUGAAAUGCGCAGAUAUCGGGAGGAACACCAGUAGCGAAGGCGGCACUCUGGGCCGGUACUGACGCUGAGACGCGAAAGCGUGGGGAGCGAACAGG